CCUAUGGUCGAUGUAGCAAUAGGGGGAAAGAGAAGUUCUUUCAUGAUCGACACAGGUGCUGAACAUUCUGUGGUGACUAAGAUGGUGGCUCCGCCUUCGGGGAAGACUAUAACUGUGAUAGGAGCUACUGGGAGAAGUGCAGCUAGACCGGUUCUUAAGAGUCGCGCUUGUAUUCUGGGAGGCCAUGUGGUGAAGCAUUAGUUCCUAUAUAUGCCAGAGUGUCCGAUUCAACUUUUAGGACGAGAUCUAUUAUCGAAGCUUUAAGCUCAGAUAACCUUUUACCUAAUGGAUCAACAUCUCUGAAGUUUAAG